UAUACCCUCGCUCCAACUACCCUUGGUAGUGUGCUCUUCAGUGAGCCGAGGAGCGGAUCUGGCCUCCCCAAACCGCAUCAGUGGGUUGGGUUGGCUGAAGUGCAGAGGCUAGAGCUAGGACCCGUUUGGGCCUCAACUGGAUAGGUAGCACCGGCUUCGGCCGACUACACGAAGUUGUGGCUGCGGUCCUUGCUGGCGGCCAGCAGGAAAGCGCUUCCAAGCGCUAUCUAAACUAUCGACCUGAGCUCAGGCAAGACUACCCGCUGAACUUAAGCAUAUCAAUAAGCGGAGGAAAAGAAACUAACAAGGAUUCCCCUAGUAACGGCGAGCGAACCGGGAAAAGCCCAACUUGAAAAUCUCCCUCGGAGAAUUGUAGUCUAUAGAAGUACCCUCUGCAACGGGCUGAACCAAAGUCUCCUGGAAAGGGGCGUCAGAGAGGGUGAGAACCCCGUAGGUUCAUGCUUUGUUGCCUCACGAGGUGCUUUCGCAGAGUCGGGUUGCUUGGGAAUGCAGCCCAAAUUUGGUGGUAAAUCCCACCUAAGGCUAAAUACUGGCGAGAGACCGAUAGCGAACAAGUACCGUGAGGGAAAGAUGAAAAGAACUUUGAAAAGAGAGUUAAAAAGUGCUUGAAAUUGUUGAGGGGGAAGCGAUUGGAGGCUAUGGGUGCGCCUAGGCUUAUGCGUCCUUAACGGGCCGCUGCAUGUGCUAGGUGCUGGUCAGCAAGGGUUGGGCUGGCAGGAUAACAGCCGGGGUUGUUACCCGGUCUAUACUGCCGGCCCGACCAAGGCCUGAAGGCUGCCUUUGUCCCUCGGGAACUGCAGCCUCAAGUUGCUGGCGAAAGGUUUCCAAUUGGCCCGUCUUGAAACACGGACCAAGGAGUCUAACAUGUAUGCGAGUUGGUGGGUGGAAAACCCAUAAGCGCAAGUAACCUGACUGGUGGGAUGGCCUGUGCCUGCACCAUCGACCGACCAUGAGCUUCUGCGAAAGGUUUGAGUGCGAGCAUACCUGUUGGGACCCGAAAGAUGGUGAACUAUGCCUGAGCAGGGUGAAGCCAGAGGAAACUCUGGUGGAGGCUCGUAGAUGUGCUGACGUGCAAAUCGCUUUUCGGACUUGGGUAUAGGGGCGAAAGACUAAUCGAACCAUCUAGUAGCUGGUUCCCUC
rnacentral:misc_RNA from 1 species